rnacentral:rRNA from 1 species
UACGUAGGGUGCAAGCGUUGUCCGGAAUUAUUGGGCGUAAAGAGCUCGUAGGCGGUCUGUCGCGUCUGCUGUGAAAACUCGGGGCUUAACCCGGCCUGCAGUGGGUACGGGCAGACUAGAGUGCGGUAGGGGAGACUGGAAUUCCUGGUGUAGCGGUGAAAUGCGCAGAUAUCAGGAGGAACACCGGUGGCGAAGGCGGGUCUCUGGGCCGUAACUGACGCUGAGGAGCGAAAGCAUGGGGAGCGAACAGG